UUCCCAUUGUCAACAUCUUAGUCUGGGACAUUAGCAUAUUAAGCUUUUUUGAAUCUAGUCCUCUAGCUAAUUUUCUUGCCUUCAAUCUCCCCCCACUUCAGUUAAUCUUGUAUAUAAACAGAUUAAUCUUUUUAAAAUACCAUUUUAUCAUAUUAAUAAAACCCAAAUUUCUAUGAUUGGCUUUAUGGUCUCUACCUACUUCUAAUUUAUCUUCCUACAUGGAGUUCUAAAACAAGAAUAGGGAUAUGGGGUGGGAGGUGGAGGUGGAAUUUGUCCAGAGGCUGGCAAUUUGUCCCACAGAAGAUUUUUAAAGAAUUGAAGAUAAGAAAUUGUAUUCUUCUAAGUAAGAAGAUUGUUACUAGAUCCUUGAGUUAAGGAAUGAGUAGAACUAUGUGUUUGUGGAACCUGUGAUAGGAUAUUGAGAGUGGAGACAGAAGCAGACUCCAGCUGGAUUUUCAUCUUGUGGUCUCUUAGGGUUCCUUAGGGAGAGUUUUGGGUAUGGUGAUAUCCAAACUGAAGAUCAGCCUUACAAUAAGAAGCAAGGUCUGGCCCUGAUGUAAGAAGUUUAUCUGCUCACUGUCCAGUGGCCACCUCACAGCAUUUUUUUGGCUUCAGAAUACCAAGUUGAUCUAUAGAAAGUGGAACCAAUGAUUUGAAUGGGAAGGUAAGGUUUGGUACAUAAUUAUAUGGAGGAGUCAAGAAGUCAUAACAUCCAGAACAGAUUUGGAGGCGGAGAUGUACCAAGAUGGCACAA